rnacentral:rRNA from 1 species
AGUCGUACGAAGACCUUUGGUCUUAGUGGCGGACGGGUGAGUAACACGUGAGAAUCUGCCCUUAGGAAGAGGAUAACAGCUGGAAACGGUUGCUAAUACUCUAUAUGCCGAGAGGUGAAAGAAUGUAUUUGCCUAAGGAAGAGCUCGCGUCUGAUUAGCUUGUUGGUAGGGUAAUAGCCUACCAAGGCAACGAUCAGUAGCUGGUUUGAGAGGACGACCAGCCACACUGGGACUGAGACACGGCCCAGACUCCUACGGGAGGCAGCAGUGGGGAAUUUUCCGCAAUGGGCGAAAGCCUGACGGAGCAAUACCGCGUGAGGGAUGAAAGCCUGUGGGUUGUAAACCUCUUUUCUCAAGGAAGAAAUUUUGACGGUACUUGAGGAAUAAGCAUCGGCUAACUCUGUGCCAGCAGCCGCGGUAAUACAGAGGAUGCAAGCGUUAUCCGGAAUCACUGGGCAUAAAGCGUCUGUAGGUGGCUUAUCAAGUCUGCUGUUAAAGACUAGGGCUUAACCCCAGGAAAGCAGUGGAAACUGAUAAGCUUGAGUGUGGUAGAGGUAGAGGGAAUUCCUGGUGUAGCGGUGAAAUGCGUAGAUAUUAGGAAGAACACCAAUGGCGAAAGCACUCUACUGGGCCAUAACUGACACUAAGAGACGACAGCUAGGGGAGCAAAUGGGAUUAGAUACCCCAGUAGUCCUAGCCGUAAACGAUGGAUACUAGGUGUUGCACGUAUUAACCCGUGCAGUAUCGUAGCUAAGGCGUUAAGUAUCCCGCCUGGGGAAGUACGCU